rnacentral:rRNA from 1 species
CCCGUGGCAUAUAGCUCAGUAACACGUGGCCAAACUACCCUACAGACCGCGAUAACCUCGGGAAACUGAGGCCAAUAGCGGAUAUAACUCUCAUGCUGGAGUGCCGAGAGUUAGAAACGUUCCGGCGCUGUAGGAUGUGGCUGCGGCCGAUUAGGUAGAUGGUGGGGUAACGGCCCACCAUGCCGAUAAUCGGUACGGGUUGUGAGAGCAAGAACCCGGAGACGGUAUCUGAGACAAGAUACCGGGCCCUACGGGGCGCAGCAGGCGCGAAACCUUUACACUGCACGACAGUGCGAUAGGGGGACUCCGAGUGUGAGGGCAUAUAGCCCUCGCUUUUCUGUACCGUAAGGUGGUACAGGAACAAGGACUGGGCAAGACCGGUGCCAGCCGCCGCGGUAAUACCGGCAGUCCAAGUGAUGGCCGAUAUUAUUGGGCCUAAAGCGUCCGUAGCCGGCCGGACAAGUCCGUUGGGAAAUCGACGCGCUCAACGCGUCGGCGUCCAGCGGAAACUGUCCGGCUUGGGGCCGGAAGACCUGAGGGGUACGUCCGGGGUAGGAGUGAAAUCCUGUAAUCCUGGACGGACCACCAAUGGGGAAACCACCUCAGGAAGACGGACCCGACGGUGAGGGACGAAAGCUAGGGUCUCGAACCGGAUUAGAUACCCGGGUAGUCCUAGCUGUAAACGAUGCUCGCUAGGUGUGCCGUACGCUACGAGCCUGCGCUGCGCCCUAGGGAAGCCGAGAAGCGAGCCGCCUGGGAAGUACGUCUGCAAGGAUGAAACUUAAAGGAAUUGGCGGGGGAGCACCACAACCGGAGGAGCCUGCGGU